rnacentral:rRNA from 1 species
UACGUAGGGUGCGAGCGUUGUCUGGAAUUAUUGGGCGUAAAGGGCUCGUAGGCGGUUUGUCGCGUCGGGAGUGAAAUCAUCUGGCUUAACUGGGUGCUUGCUUUCGAUACGGGCAGACUAGAGGUAUGCAGGGGAGAACGGAAUUCCUGGUGUAGCGGUGAAAAUGCGCAGAUAUCAGGAGGAACACCGGUGGCGAAGGCGGUCUCUGGGCAUGACCUGACGCUGAGGAGCGAAAGUGUGGGAGCGAACAGG